UACGUAGGGACCGAGCGUUAUCCGGAUUCAUUGGGCGUAAAGAGCUCGUAGGCGGCUAUUCAAGUCGAACGUGAAAUCUCGGGGCUCAACUCCGAGCCUGCGUUCGAUACUGGGUAGCUAGAGUCUGGUAGGGGGAUCUGGAAUUCCUAGUGUAGCGGUGAAAUGCGUAGAGAUUAGGAAGAACACCAGUGGCGAAGGCGACUUACUGGACUGUAACUGACGCUGAGGCAUGAAAGCGUGGGGAGCAAACAGG
rnacentral:rRNA from 1 species